UACGGAGGGUGCAAGUGUUAAUCGGAAUUACUGGGCGUAAAGCGUACGUAGGCGGCGUGUUAAGCAAGAUGUGAAAGCCCCGGGCUCAACCUGGGAAUUGCAUUUUGAACUGGCAUGCUAGAGUCCUGAAGAGGGUGGUAGAAUUUCCAGUGUAGCGGUGAAAUGCGUAGAUAUUGGAAGGAAUACCGGUGGCGAAGGCGGCCACCUGGUCAGAGACUGACGCUGAGGUACGAAAGCGUGGGGAGCAAACAGGAUUAGAUACCCUGGUAGUCCACGCCGUAAACGAUGUCAACUAGUUGUUCGUGUCAUUAAGACGUGAGUAACGCAGCUAACGCACUAAGUUGACCGCCUGGGGAGUACGGCCGCAAGGUUAAA
rnacentral:rRNA from 1 species